CUCCCCCCACCCAUCCUUCCUUGCGCGCGUGCGCGUGCGUGCCUCCUCUGUGCUUCUAAUGCUCGGGUGUCAGGUCAACAGCCCGGCGAGCGCGCGCGCCGAAAGAGGACCGUGCGCACGGUGCUCGCGCCUCCUCCUCCUCCUCCCGCUUCUCUCUCUCUCCCCCCGUGUGUGAGGGGGAAAUUAGCAGUUGAGGGCGUUUUGGUUUGAACUAAGCGAGGACGGGUAGAGAGCCGCGCGGUAGCCUGCCGUGGCGGCAAGAACAAUGAAGGGUGGCGGCUGAAGGGGGCUGGGUUUGUGCGUGGCGGCGGGCUACGGAGGCAGGCGCUGUGGAGGAUGGCAAUCGCGUGAAGGGAUUAAUUGUUGUUUAGCCAUGGUGCUCUCUGGGGACUCAGAAGGGAGGAUUGCAGCCUUCCUAAGCGUGUGCAUGUAUAUAAUUAUAUUUUCUUCAAAAAAAGUGUAAAUAGAAGCAGGGUGAAACUUGCUGAAAUAAACCCUCUCUUCUCUGCCUGCGAGAGUUUUGGCAAGUCCCGGUCACCCACCUGCAAUGCUUCAUGUUUAAAAUGGGAAUAAUAGGGAAAUUGCUAUGCAAGUUUUUGCUGGGAAGUAAGCCCCACUAUAAUAGGCACGGGAGGUUUCUCCUCAGAAAUUAUGUUUAGGACAGCAGUUUGAGAGUAGGGUUACCCAAAAUAUUUAACUAGGUAAGGUUUGAGAAGGUAGUGUUGAAAUAGGUCAUCUUUGCAGUAAUCCUAUGCACUGAGAGUUGGUCCCAUGGAAAUCCGCCAGGCUGCCUUCUCUGUAGACAGGCAUAGUAUUGCUGUGUUAAAUAUCACUUAUUAGGAGUAAGGCCCAUUGAUCGCAGGUGGGUUUUGCUGCACAGUUGCCUCCAGCAGCUCUUGCACUAGGACUGGAAGUGCCACGGGAAAUACUUCCCAAGGAAUGAUAGUACUUCUAAGCACAGGGACCUGGCACAGCCCUGGCAAAGUAGGCCCUGCCAAAGUUGUUGCUUCCUUGCAGAAUCCGCCAGCAGCACUUAGAUGAAAAACUGCACAGUAAGAAUCUCUGUUGAGUGACACAAGCUGGAGGGUUGGCAUCAGGAUAUUGUAAAAUGCAGCUCCCUGUUCACAUUAUGUGCUUGUGAGAAUGAAUAAGCCUGGCUUCUUUCUGUCUAAAAUUGAAGCUUUUACCAUUUCCCCAGAGGACAGCUAAAAAUGUAUUAAGCUGAUUGAAAUAAAUUAGUUUAUCCUGAUGCAUGGACUACUCUUAGGUUUACACUAGUCUGGUGGUGAGAGGCUAGGAGAGAUAGCAGGUGUCUUGGAGCAGGGAACUGAGUGGAGGUGUUCAUGGGCACAUGCAUGCAAACAAGAUAAGCAUGUAGAGACUACAGAGCAGCUGAGAGCCUGGGAUUGGUAUGGAGAAAAAGCAAGAGAGGCUAUGCCCAUCAGACCGGUUUGGGGAAUGAGUCAUCUCUUGGAGCAAGGGAAGUAGAUAAAAGUAGGGGGGAGAAUAGAUCUCUGCUCAUUGUACAAUAUUCAUCUGUCCUUAGGCAAUGUUUUCAUACACAUUCUCUCCAUUCUCAUUUGUUUCAUAAUAAAGCUCUCCAGUUUUGGAACUUGCUUUCCCAGAUAUCAGAAAAAUGCUAAGCUUGCCAAUUUUCUGGAAGUACCAUAAGCCUUCACUGUUCAGGGCAAGCAUUUUGUGGCUGGGUAUUGGAGGAUUUUUUAAGGAUAACUUUUAGUCUACGUAUAUUUAAGUGUUUGGAUAGCAUGUUUCUAAGUGUUGAGCUGCGCUGAGCCCUAGGAAAUUCAGUAAAGCAUAAUAAAAGUGGUGGGAAGGAAUUAGUAAAUUAAAUAAAUUGAUUGUCAACUCACAUAAGAGGUAUGCCUCAGUUUGUUAAUGGUGGGUCUUUCCCUAAGAGUAUUCCCACAGGAUUGUAGUUCUAGUCACUUAAGUUCCUCCAUUAAUCAAAGACUCCAUAACAGAGCAUGUGCAUAACCUCUUGGGUUCAAUCCAUACUAUCUCCCAUUUAUGUCUCAAGUACUUUGGCAUUUUUAAAGCUAUUGCUUUAUUUGACCCCAGUGUCAAGAUUAGCAGAGAACUGCUGUGGGUAUAGGAGGGUUUUCUGUCCCUAAAAAAAACCCUGGUCAGGAUCCAGUGAGUUCUGUGUGUUCCCCAACAUUGUCUUCCAUGCAGCCAGGCUUACCCAAUUUCCUCUAGUGACUGGUGCUCCUCUUAAUGCGGGGGUCAGGGCAUAGGGGUAUAUGUGUUUUUUUAUGCCACUUUGUUUUUCUCUGUUCAUCUUUCUUGCAGUGCCAAGAAAUCUUUAGUUGCAUACUCUUUGCAGGUACAUGAAGUAGUUAUUCCAGGAAACUCUUUGAAAAGCCUUGUUUUUAAAAAUGUGGAAAAUAAUACUGACUCUUCAGGAACUCUAUUUUUGGUCUUUAUUAUACAAUCACUGAACUGUAAAAAUACAUAAAUUUUACUUCCUUUUCUUGGUCAUUAUCCUCUUGUGUUAAAUCUGUGUUUCUGUUACGGGGAUAUCUUUGCACAAAGAAAAUUCAAGCCUUUCCCCCAGAUAACCCAUUCAUUAUUUUGGGGAGCUUUCGUGCCUGUUGUCCAAUGGCAAAUUUUACGCAUACAUGUCUAGACAGAAGACUGGGCAGAGGAGGACUGCCAGGAGGCAAAAGAUCCAAUCAGAGCCAGUGAUCAAUGCAUCCCUGUUGAGUGGGCCAUUGUUGCUGGACUCUCCAUGCUUAUGCACAAUCCUAACUGUCUUCACUUCAGCUGUAGGACCAGGCUGUCCAUUGGAUACAUGGGACAAAAUUACACAGAUAUAAAAGAAUCUCUGAGCCGUCAGCACCCAAGCACUUCUGCCAUUAAGAUGCCAUGUAUUCAAUGUAAGCACAAUCACAUACAGUCAUACCUCAUGUUACGGACGCUUCAGGUUACGUGUUUUCAGGUUAUGGACCGUGGGAAACCUGGAAGUACUAUAACGGGUUACUUCCGGGUUUCACCGCAUGCGCAGAAGCGCCAAAUCGUGCUGGUGCCUGCGCAGACACAGCGCUUCAGGAUGCGUACGCUGCAGGUUGUGGACGUGCCACCAUCACGGAUUAUGUCUGCAACCCAAGAUUCCACUGUAAUUUGGUUCCAGGCACAGGACUGAACAUCCAAAAAGAUCCACUUUCAUUUUAUAAAGAUCUGUUUCAAGCCCAUAGGGUUGGAGGGAGAGUGUACGGGCAAUGGAAUCUGAGAACUUUGAAUGGGAAGUUGAACAAGUUAUGCAGUGUUCAGAAGUGGGGCUUCAGUAACCUGCAUAACUCAGUGUUCCUUCUUAUAAGCAGAGAAUAAAUUAUGCAAAAUAUGGAAAUACAUGCAGAUUUGCAAUUUAUACAGGAGUCAGAAUACAGAUCAAGUGGACUUAGAAAUUUAUUUUCUUAGGUCAGAAUAGUAUAGCUUUCCCCACCACUGUCUUCAGCAAUUCUGACAGUAAGGAAUGCAAGGUUACCCAAUCAUGCCAUUAGAAUAAGUUUAUGGAUUGUAAUAUGUGCACAUGUGUAUAAGGAAUAACUAAAUGAGAACGGCAUCUUCUCUGUUUCCAUUUGCCAUUAAAACCAUUUACAGUGGUGCCCCGCAAGACGAAUGCCUCGCAAGACAAAAAACCCGCUAGACGAAAGG